AGUGAACGCUGGCGGUAGGCCUAACACAUGCAAGUCGAACGGCAGCACAGUAAGAGCUUGCUCUUACGGGUGGCGAGUGGCGGACGGGUGAGGAAUACAUCGGAAUCUACUUUUUCGUGGGGGAUAACGUAGGGAAACUUACGCUAAUACCGCAUCCGACCUACGGGUGAAAGCAGGGGAUCUUCGGACCUUGUGCGAUUGAAUGAGCCGAUGUCGGAUUGGCUAGUUGGCGGGGUAAAGGCCCACCAAGGGGACGAUCGGUUGCUGGUCUGAGAGGAUGAUCAGCCACACUGGAACUGAGACACGGUCCAUACUCCUACGGGAGGCAGCAGUGGGGAAUAUUGGACAAUGGGCGCAAGCCUGAUCCAGCCAUACCGCGUGGGUGAAGAAGGCCUUCGGGUUGUAAAGCCCUUUUGUUGGGAAAGAAAAGCAGCAGGUUAAUACCCCGCUGUUCUGACGGUACCCAAAGAAUAAGCACCGGCUAACUUCGUG
rnacentral:rRNA from 1 species